GGUGGUGAGGGCAGUGUGGACAGCUGUCGGGGGAAAGUCAAGGAGUAUGAACUCCAUACUGCAGGCAGUGAUGAACCAUGGACCCUUCCAGGGAAGAGCCUGGAAGAGGUUUGAGCACAGGCAGGAAGAUCAGCAAGGACUAUAGUCACGCUGCAGGCAGGAAGGGCCUGCACUGGGGGGCACUGAGGGGAGCUGGUCCCAGCACUGCAGCUCCCAAGGCAGCCCCUUCCCCAUCGGGGCCCAGACGCUGCAUCCCAGGCAGCAGGAUGGCACGGCCCCAUCUGCCACCAAAACAUUCUAUGUUUCUCGAAUGUCUUCUUUGUCUCAGGCUUAUCAGGCAUUGGAGACCUUUCAGAAUGUCCAAAAUGCAAACAACCCCCCCCCACACACUACCACCCACACACUGCAACUUCUUGACUCCCGUGCUCACCACGGAAGAGCGUCUCUUGUCCCCAUGGGUGCUCACUCCUCUGGACCCACUUCACAUCAUCCUCAUCUCCUCCCUUGCCAUUGCAACUUCCAGCCUUUCGGCUCCUGUGCAGCAGCCUGUGCCCUCUACUCUCCUCCAUCCCACUUCGGCCUGCUUUUUGCUGUUAUCCAGCAGCUUCCUGGCGCUGGGAGGACUCUAGCGCCAGGCUCCAAAUCCUCCUCUCUACCCCAGUUGCUCUCAUGACCCUUGGGCAUUCAGCUUCUGUCUUCUGAACCCCUCUCACCUCGAUGCCCUUCUCUCGAGCCAAGACCAGGAUCAUGUCUGCAGCAGAUCCCAACUUGUCCUCAGCACUGCAGACAGGGAUGAUGUCACUCCCCUGCUUAAACUCCUUCAGAGGACUUCCAGUCCAGAUGGUGGACCAAACUGACCCGGGAUCCCAGUUCCCACUCUUAAAACAUAAAAUUUCUAGAUAAAAUACUUUUAAACUUAAAAUAUAUAUCCAAGCAGGAAUGCAAGAAAUAAACAUGAAAAGAAACCCUCAGCUGUGAGGGAAGAGUUGCAGCUAUGGCAUUUUAGACAAGUUGUGCUGAGGAAACAAGAAUUAGUGUUCAGGUCCCACGAGGGGAAGGAGCCCUGGCAAGACCCCAGCUCUGGAGGGCUCCACCUGGGAGCGUUAAGGACGGAGCCUUACCAAAAUCACAACCCUUACUCGACUCAGCUCUGCCCUGAUCGUUGAAGGUAAUCCGCCCCACUCUCUCUGCCUGGCAGAGAGCAAGGAGAACUCUUUCCAGAAGAAGAUAACACCAUUCAGAACCUCUGCAGUUUUUUUAAUGCACGUUAUCUAGGCCCUUUAAAAGAUAGGAUUAUAUGACUGAAAACCAAGAGGAAAAAUAAGAUAACAGAAUCAGACCUAGAGGUGACUAAAAGAUUGGAGAUAGCAAAAAAAAAACCAAACUUUAAAAUAAAUAUGACUAAUAUGUUAAGGAAAAGGCAGGAGGAAAUGGAGAUACAUGGAAGAUAAUAUGGCGAAUUUCCCAGGAGAAUUGGAUUCUAUAAAAAAGAAACUGAGCAUCUUUAAUGGAAAAAUAAAUUAACUGAAACUAAAAAUUCAGUAGAUGGGUUUAAAAGCAGAUUACACAAGUCAGAAGAAAGGAUUAGUGAACCAAAAGGUCAAUAGAAGCUGUGCAAACUUACAAAGAGAAAAAGGAAUGGAUAGAGGAAAAAAAGCAUAUGAUACGUGACAGGGAAAGUAAAAAAGUAGAGUGCCAGAGGGAGAAGAAAGAUAGAAUGGAGAAGUAACGUCUGAAGAAAUAAUGCCUGAAAAAUUUUAAAACCAGUAAGACACUGUGAAAAUUAAUAAAGGGAAACCUCACUUAAAAUAAAGUCAAGAGGCCAGAAAGGAAGCACUCUCACACAGUACCACCUGAGGUCAUUUGCAGGAAAGGUGGUCAAUUACAGACCCCAACAAGAAGAAAUGUACCUUGCAUCCCAAACAGAAAUCAACUACCCCAGCAACUCGGCCAAUGAGAAACCGUCACCACUCUGAAGUCUUGCUUUCCUCCAGUGGACUUUAGUUCAAAACAACCCCUCCCAAUUUCCUCCUUUUUCCCUGUAAAAUCACGUUCCUCUCCUUUGAUUGUUGGACCUGCCUAUGGCUUUUGCCACAGCCUGUGGGUCCUGAACUGCAAUUCCUUGCUUUUUCCUGAAUAAACUCAUUUUGCUGGUAGAAUUGGCUGUUUUAUUUUUCAGGUUGACAUACAUGGUGUCAGAAGUGGGAUCUGAAGGAGGCGACCCUCAAGAGACGAUGGGCCCCAGAAUUGAGCGAGGUACCUGCUCUAGGCCCCUGGAGCUCAUGGCUUCUGUGAGUCGCGGCCUACUUUUGGCUUGAAGGGACUAUACCUCACUACCCAUAUGGCAGCCAAUCUUCAGGGACUUGAGCCUUGGUUGCACGUCUCACAGCUAAAGAAGGCUCCACCUGACAUCUGGUCCUUUACAAACACUGGAGACCUCAAGUCAAAUUGACCAGGAGGAGAAGUAGCUGACGUCUGAGGCAGAGAGCUUUCCCAAGACGACCAAACCAGGCCUGUAUAUCCUCUUCUCACUGUUGUUUCUUACUUUAUUUUCUCUCUCCCCUUCCUGGAAGGACGGUGCCCUUGUCUGCAUUUCCCAAUCCCUUACAAAAGGGGGAAACCUCUUCUUUCGAUUAUAGGCUUUCAGAAACAGCCUCCUUACGAUCCCGCGACAAAUUAAUCUUUUCGCUUUCUUUUUCUGAAGGGUUAGAAAGUUCAGCAUUCACAGAAGUCUUUCUUUCAUCUGGACUGUUACCUGUCUCUGAGCUCUUAUCCAAAUCCAUGGUCUCUGAAUUUGCAACCCUACAGGCAGUAUUACUGGAUAACGCAUUUGACUCCCAAACAGUUAUUUCGAGAUGACAAUACUGUUUUAAUAUGUCUUUUUGAAUUUUUGCAAGAGUUCAUCAGCUAUUGCUUCAUGUUUAUUCCUGCACUGUCUUCCCAAUGCACUCAGUUAAUUCUUUCAGUUUGAGUGUGCUCUUACCGUAUUUGCUGUUCUGUUUUGUCUUCAUAACAAAUCAGAAGCCUCUCACUGGUUCACCCCAUUAAGCCUCUAUUUAGCCGGUUACCUUCAGGUUUGGGCUCCUAGUUUGGAACCAUCAGACAAUUUGGAUUUGUCAUGUUACUUUCAAUUCUGUUUUGUAUAAAUACUUUAAGUUUUGUAUUUUAUUGCCUGUCAAACCUUUGUAAACAUGACGUACCUCAUGAGGUGACGUUAGCACAGCAAUCUGAAAUGAUUUCCAAUGCUUAUGACCUUGGACGACUAUAGACUUUGAAUGAGAAGUGCCUGCGAGUUCUCCCUCCUAACCUUCCUGGUUUCUCAAGUGUGGCCUAAAUGGUUUCCAAGCACUAUGCACUCUCCCUCCAACGUGGAUCAUGACGAGAAGGAAAGGUCCUUCCCGGCACCGAGGGACAAGACCACUAAGUGCAGAAAUCCUGACUCUCGAUCAGUGAUGCUUUCAGAGAAUGAUCUUGAUCAGAAGGGAGGAAUGUGAAAAUUAAUAAAGGGAAACCCAUUUAAAAUGGAUUCUGGAGGCUGGAAGGGGGAGCUCUCACACUCAAGGUCAAUUACAAGAAAGACAGUCAAUUACAGACCCCACUAGAAAGAAGUCAUCAAUAGGAAGAAUCAUCAAUUACAGACACCAACCAGAAGAAGCGUACAUUGCAUCCCAAACAGAAAUCAACUACCCCAGCAACUCGGCCAAUGAGAAACCGUCACCACUCUGAACUCUUGCUUUUCUCCUGUGGACUUUUGUUCAAAACAACCUCUCCCAAUUUCCUCCUUUUUUCCUAUAAAAUGACAUUCUUCUCCUUUGAUCAUUGGCUUUUGCUAUAGAAUGUGGGUCUCAAAUUGCAAUUCUUUGUUUUUUUCCUGAA
ensembl:lncRNA